AGUGGCAAACGGGUUGAGUUAACACGCUGAGUAACCUGCCCUUGACUCUGGGAUAAGCCUGGGAAACCGGGUCUAAUACUGGAUACGACCUUCCCACGCAUGUGGUGUUGGUGGAAAGCUUUUGUGGUUUUGGAUGGACUCGCGGCCUAUCAGCUUGUUGGUGGGGUAAUGGCCUACCAAGGCGACGACGGGUAGCCGGCCUGAGAGGGUGACCGGCCACACUGGGACUGAGACACGGCCCAGACUCCUACGGGAGGCAGCAGUGGGGAAUAUUGCACAAUGGGCGCAAGCCUGAUGCAGCGACGCCGCGUGAGGGAUGAAGGCCUUCGGGUUGUAAACCUCUUUCAGUAGGGAAGAAGCCGGCCCUUGGGUUGGUGACGGUACCUGCAGAAAAAGCGCCGGCUAACUACGUGCCAGCAGCCGCGGUAAUACGUAGGGCGCAAGCGUUAUCCGGAAUUAUUGGGCGUAAAGAGCUCGUAGGCGGUUUGUCGCGUCUGCCGUGAAAGUCCGGGGCUUAACCCCGGAUCUGCGGUGGGUACGGGCAGACUAAAGUGCAGUAGGGGAGACUGGAAUUCCUGGUGUAGCGGUGAAAUGCGCAGAUAUCAGGAGGAACACCGAUGGCGAAGGCAGGUCUCUGGGCUGUAACUGACGCUGAAGAGCGAAAGCAUGGGGAGCGAACAGGAUUAGAUACCCUGGUAGUCCAUGCCGUAAACGUUGGGCACUAAGUGUGGGGGACAUUCCACGUUUUCCGCGCCGUAGCUAACGCAUUAAGUGCCCCGCCUGGGGAGUACGGCCGCAAGGCU
rnacentral:rRNA from 1 species